GACAGAGGGUGCAAGCGUUAAUCGGAAUUACUGGGCGUAAAGCGCGCGUAGGUGGUUCGUUAAGUUGGAUGUGAAAGCCCCGGGCUCAACCUGGGAACUGCAUUCAAAACUGACGAGCUAGAGUAUGGUAGAGGGUGGUGGAAUUUCCUGUGUAGCGGUGAAAUGCGUAGAUAUAGGAAGGAACACCAGUGGCGAAGGCGACCACCUGGACUGAUACUGACACUGAGGUGCGAAAGCGUGGGGAGCAAACAGG
rnacentral:rRNA from 1 species